GAUGAACGCUGGCGGCGUGCCUAAUACAUGCAAGUCGAGCGAACGGACGAGAAGCUUGCUUCUCUGAUGUUAGCGGCGGACGGGUGAGUAACACGUGGAUAACCUACCUAUAAGACUGGGAUAACUUCGGGAAACCGUAGCUAAUACCGGCUAAUAUUUUGAACCGCAUGGUUCAACAGUGAAAGACGGUCUUGCUGUCACUUAUAGAUGGAUCCGCGCUGCAUUAGCUAGUUGGUAAGGUAACGGCUUACCAAGGCAACGAUGCAUAGCCGACCUGAGAGGGUGAUCGGCCACACUGGAACUGAGACACGGUCCAGACUCCUACGGGAGGCAGCAGUAGGGAAUCUUCCGCAAUGGGCGAAAGCCUGACGGAGCAACGCCGCGUGAGUGAUGAAGGUCUUCGGAUCGUAAAACUCUGUUAUUAGGGAAGAACAUAUGUGUAAGUAACUGUGCACAUCUUGACGGUACCUAAUCAGAAAGCCACGGCUAACUACGUG
rnacentral:rRNA from 1 species